UACAGAGGUCCCAAGCGUUGUUCGGAUUUAUUGGGCGUAAAGGGUGCGUAGGCGGCGGAGUAAGUUGGGUGUGAAAUCCCGGGGCUCAACCUCGGAAUUGCAUUCAAUACUGCUUCGCUAGAGUACUGGAGAGGAGGCUGGAAUUUACGGUGUAGCAGUGAAAUGCGUAGAUAUGUAAUAGAACACCGAUUGCGAAGGCAGUUCACUAAGGUUGUAUUGACACUGAGGCACGAAAGCGUGGGGAUCAAACAGG
rnacentral:rRNA from 1 species